rnacentral:rRNA from 1 species
CAACUUGAGAGUUUGAUCCUGGCUCAGAACGAACGCUGGCGGCAGGCUUAACACAUGCAAGUCGAGCGCCCCGCAAGGGGAGCGGCAGACGGGUGAGUAACGCGUGGGAAUCUACCCAUCUCUACGGAAUAACCCAGGGAAACUUGGACUAAUACCGUAUACGUCCUUCGGGAGAAAGAUUUAUCGGAGAUGGAUGAGCCCGCGUUGGAUUAGCUAGUUGGUGGGGUAAUGGCCUACCAAGGCGACGAUCCAUAGCUGGUCUGAGAGGAUGAUCAGCCACACUGGGACUGAGACACGGCCCAGACUCCUACGGGA